GGAAGGAUCAUUACUGAAAAAACUAUUCUUAGUUUCUUCUCACCCCUUUGUUUGUUACCUACCAUGUUGCUUCCACUGGACAGGCGAAGCUGCUGGUCAGCGGAGCCCUUUGGCUUGUGUGUCUAGCACUUGCCACGGAGUUCGCCGGUGGUAAGACUCAUACUAAAAACUUUUGUGAAAACAACAAAACAGUCUGAUAUACCUAUUUCAAUGAAAUAAAACUUUCAACAACGGAUCUCUAGGCUCUUGCAUCGAUGAAGAACGCAGUGAAAUGCGAUAAGUAAUGUGAAUUGCAGAAUUUCGUGAAUCAUCGAAUCUUUGAACGCACAUUGCGCCCUAUGGUAUUCCGUAGGGCAUGCCUGUCUGAGCGUCAGCUCCCCUCUCUCAAGCAUCUUUUUUUUUUUGUGAAGCUUGGAUGACUUUGGAGAAGUAGUUUUUUUUUUUUUGAAAGACUGCUCUCCAGAAAUUCAUAGGCAGUAUGGUUGCACUUGAACCAGACGUAAUAAUCUCAUUUACCUCGUCUUUUCAAGGGAUUUGAUUGUACUUGCCUCAACCCACUCAUAACAACUAUGGGUGACCUCAGAUCAGGUAGGGAUACCCGCUGAACUUAAGCAUAUCAAUAAGCGGAGGAAAAGAAACCAACAGGGAUUGCCUCAGUAACGGCGAGUGAAGCGGCAAAAGCUCAGAUUUGAAAUCCGGCGUUAUUUUGGCGUCUGAGUUGUAAUCUGUAGAGGAGUAUUCGGGCGUAGCUCUGGCUUAAGUCCCUUGGAACAGGGUGUCAUAGAGGGUGAGAACCCCGUUUAUAGCCAGUGGCUUAUGCUCAUGUGAAUCUCCUUCAACGAGUCGAGUUGUUUGGGAAUGCAGCUCUAAAUGGGUGGUAAAUUCCAUCUAAAGCUAAAUACUGGCAAGAGACCGAUAGCGCACAAGUAGAGUGAUCGAAAGAUGAAAAGAACUCUGAACAGAGAGUUAAAUAGUACGUGAAAUUGUUGAAAGGGAAGCACUUGCUACCAGACGCACUUGCAGUCGAUCAACCUUCAUUCUUGAUGGUGCACUCGGUUGUAUGUGGGUCAGCAUCAGUUACGGCGGUGGGAAAAAGGUCGAGGGAAUGUGGCUCUCUUCGGGGAGUGUUAUAGCCCUUGGCGCAAUGCUGCCAGCUGUGACUGAGGACCGCGCUUCGGCGAGGAUGCUGACUUAAUGGUCGUAAGUGACCCGUCUUGAAACACGGACCAAGGAGUCUAACAUCUAUGCGAGUGUUUGGGUGUAGAAACCCUUACGCGUAAUGAAAGUGAAUGGAGGUGGGAACCGCAAGGUGCACCAUCGACCGAUCCUGAUGUUUUCGGAUGGAUUUGAGUAGGAGCAUAGCUGUUGGGACCCGAAAGAUGGUGAACUAUGCCUGAAUAGGGUGAAGCCAGAGGAAACUCUGGUGGAGGCUCGCAGCGGUUCUGACGUGCAAAUCGAUCGUCAAAUUUGGGUAUAGGGGCGAAAGACUAAUCGAACCAUCUAGUAGCUGGUUCCGGC
rnacentral:misc_RNA from 1 species